ACUCAAAGGAAUUGACGGGGUCUCGCACAAGCGGUGGAGCGUGUUGUUUAAUUCGACGGUAAACGAAGAACCUUACCAAGGCUUGACAUCCUGCCAAUCUCUCCGAAAGGAAAGAGUGCCUUCGGGCCGCAGUGACAGGUGAUGCAUGGCCGUCUUCAGCUCGUGUCGUGAGAUGUUUGGUUAAGUCCAUCAACGAGCGCAACCCUUAUAGUCAGUUGAAUUUCUCUGGCUAGACUGCCCCGGUAACGGGGAGGAAGGAGGGGAUGAUGUCAGGUCAUUAUUUCCCUUACGCCUUGGGCCACAAACACGCUACAAUGGCCGGUACAAAGGGCUGCCAACCCGCGAGGGGGAGCAAAUCCCAUCAAAGCCGGUCCCAGUUCGGAUUGCAGGCUGAAACUCGCCUGCAUGAAGCUGGAAUCGCUAGUAACGGUAGGUCAGCUAUACUACCGUGAAUACGUUCCCGAGACUUGUACACACCGCCCGU
rnacentral:rRNA from 1 species